CUUGCUUUUUUUUUUUUUUUUUAAGCAGGGCGGACAAGGUUGCUUGUCAAUUACUCACCUGGGAACACGAAUAUUCUCAUUAACCGUCAAGGAUCAAAAACCUUUUCUUUCCUCCUUAACAUAUCGCCGAUAUUUCGGAACUCCUCACCCAGACAUUUCGGUCUACCUUUCGUCUCGGAAAUUUAUAUAUAAACAAUAAACUCUUGUCGCAGCCUCCACCACACAAAAAAUUGAAACGCAAAACACCAAAAAUAACCUCGUUUAAACAAACUUUCGUACUUCUCUCCCUCCAUCCAAUCCAACCACCGCCCAUCGCCACCACCACUACCACUAAAACAUCGUGUCUUCCACUCCUCUGUAACACCAGAAGAUCAAAUUAUAAGGAAGGAAUUGUAGAGAAGAAAUGCAGAUGAUGAGUUCCAGUUCGGCUGUCUCCGUACAUCAAAGUUUCAAUUCUUCUUCCUCUACCGAAUUGGCGGAAAUCGCCUGUAACUUUGAGGAGGAUUUUAGCUUGAAAUUGAAACUAAAUGAAGCUUCAGCAAAUGAAUUAGAGAGCUUCAAGGAUGAGAAACCGCUGCAUGAAGAAGAAACAGAGGUUGAAGACGAGGACGAGGAAUUUAGUUUUGUUUGCAUUAAUCCCGAUGGCUCGCCGAUAUCUGCUGACUGUAUAUUCGAAAACGGUCAGAUCCGGCCGGUUUUUCCUUUGUUCAACAAAGAUCUCCUAUUCGCCGACGAUGAUUCGGAAGCUAAGAACUCCUUCGCGCCAGCUCUCCGGCCUCCGUUGAGGAAGCUGUUUGUGGAGGAGCAUGAUCAAGUUUCGUCGGUUUCGUCCUCGGAAGCAGAUGAACCAGCGGGACCGUCCUGCGCUUGGGAAAGGAAAGCCGUCGAGACUUCGCCGGAGGUCUGCAAAAAGAGCAACUCCACUGGAUUUUCAAAGCUAAGGAGGUUUCGAGAAUUGGUACUCCGAAGCAACAGCGACGGAAAGGACGCUUUCGUCUUCUUAAAUCACCAUAACCACAAAAAUCCUUCAACAAUAACAGCAACAGCCAGUGGAAAAACUAUAAAGGCUGAGAAAAGCGAAAAAGCAGCGGAGAAAAAGCAGAAGCCAGUGGCGAAGAAGGAAGCAAAGGCAUCGUCGGCGCACGAGAGGCUCUACGUAAGCAAUCGAGCGAUGAAAGAGGAGCACAAACGGAAAUCGUAUUUGCCAUACCGGGUUGGGUUUUUCACCAAUGUGAACGGGUUGAGCGGGAAUAUUCAUCCGUAUUAAGUUUGCACCAGGGAUUACUGUCAACUUUCU
rnacentral:misc_RNA from 1 species